AGUCUGGAAAAUUAGAAAAAACCGCUGAAUCAUAAUACAAGAAGGAAAGGACCCUGUACCUCAGCAUAAAGUUUAGAGAAGGCUAACAUACUGCAAUCCCUUCUUUACAUCUCACAGGAAACAAAGGCCCUAAUAAAGCUACAAAACGCCAGUCAACUUAUCUAAGAAAUGGAGAAACCAGUUCAACAUCAAACAUAUGC